GAUGAAGAACGUAGCGAAAUGCGAUAACUAAUGUGAAUUGCAGAAUUCAGUGAAUCAUCGAGUCUUUGAACGCACAUUGCGCCCCCUGGUAUUCCGGGGGGCAUGCCUGUCCGAGCGUCAUUGCUGCCCUCAAGCACGGCUUGUGUGUUGGGCUCCGUCCCCCCGGGGACGGGCCCGAAAGGCAGCGGCGGCACCGAGUCCGGUCCUCGAGCGUAUGGGGCUUUGUCACCCGCUCUGUAGGCCCGGCCGGCGCCAGCCGACAACCCAUCAUCCUUUUCAGGUUGACCUCGGAUCAGAUAGGGAUACCCGCUGAACUUAAGCAUAUCAAUAAGCGGAGGA
rnacentral:misc_RNA from 1 species